rnacentral:rRNA from 1 species
GUGGGGAAUUUUGGACAAUGGGCGCAAGCCUGAUCCAGCCAUUCCGCGUGCAGGAUGAAGGCCUUCGGGUUGUAAACUGCUUUUGUACGGAACGAAAAGCCUCUGGUUAAUACCCGGGGGUCAUGACGGUACCGUAAGAAUAAGCACCGGCUAACUACGUGCCAGCAGCCGCGGUAAUACGUAGGGUGCGAGCGUUAAUCGGAAUUACUGGGCGUAAAGCGUGCGCAGGCGGUGAUGUAAGACAGUUGUGAAAUCCCCGGGCUCAACCUGGGAACUGCAUCUGUGACUGCAUUGCUGGAGUGCGGCAGAGGGGGAUGGAAUUCCGCGUGUAGCAGUGAAAUUCGUAGAUAUUCGGAGGAACACCAGUGGCGAAGGCGGCUCACUGGCUCGAUACUGACGCUGAGGUGCGAAAGCGUGGGGAGCAAACAGGAUUAGAUACCCCAGUAGUCC